AUCCAACCUGCCUCAUACUCGGGGAUAGCCUUUCGAAAGAAAGAUUAAUAUCCGAUAGCAUAUAUUUCCCGCAUGGGUUUUAUAUUAAAGAAAUUCGGUAUGAGAUGGGGAUGCGUUCCAUUAGUUUGUUGGCGGGGUAACGGCCCACCAAGACUACGAUGGAUAGGGGUUCUGAGAGGAAGGUCCCCCACAUUGGAACUGAGACACGGUCCAAACUCCUACGGGAGGCAGCAGUGAGGAAUAUUGGUCAAUGGACGCGAGUCUGAACCAGCCAAGUAGCGUGAAGGAUGACUGCCCUAUGGGUUGUAAACUUCUUUUAUAUGGGAAUAAAGUGGUCCACGUGUGGAUUUUUGUAUGUACCAUAUGAAUAAGGAUCGGCUAACUCCGUGCCAGCAGCCGCGGUAAUACGGAGGAUCCGAGCGUUAUCCGGAUUUAUUGGGUUUAAAGGGAGCGUAGGCGGAUUGUUAAGUCAGUUGUGAAAGUUUGCGGCUCAACCGUAAAAUUGCAGUUGAUACUGGCAGUCUUGAGUGCAGUA
rnacentral:rRNA from 1 species